rnacentral:rRNA from 1 species
CUAUUUAGGUAGCGCCUCAUGUAUCACUCUGGGGGGUAGAGCACUGUUUCGGCUAGGGGGUCAUCCCGACUUACCAAACCGAUGCAAACUCCGAAUACCCAGAAGUGCCGAGCAUGGGAGACACACGGCGGGUGCUAACGUCCGUCGUGAAAAGGGAAACAACCCAGACCGCCAGCUAAGGUCCCAAAGUUGUGGUUAAGUGGUAAACGAUGUGGGAAGGCUUAGACAGCUAGGAGGUUGGCUUAGAAGCAGCCAUCCUUUAAAGAAAGCGUAAUAGCUCACUAGUCGAGUCGGCCUGCGCGGAAGAUGUAACGGGGCUCAAACCACACACCGAAGCUGCGGGUGUCACGUAAGUGACGCGGUAGAGGAGCGUUCUGUAAGCCUGUGAAGGUGAGUUGAGAAGCUUGCUGGAGGUAUCAGAAGUGCGAAUGCUGACAUGAGUAACGACAAUGGGUGUGAAAAACACCCACGCCGAAAGACCAAGGGUUCCUGCGCAACGUUAAUCGACGCAGGGUUAGUCGGUUCCUAAGGCGAGGCUGAAAAGCGUAGUCGAUGGGAAACAGGUUAAUAUUCCUGUACUUCUGGUUACUGCGAUGGAGGGACGGAGAAGGCUAGGCCAGCUUGGCGUUGGUUGUCCAAGUUUAAGGUGGUAGGCUGAAAUCUUAGGUAAAUCCGGGGUUUCAAGGCCGAGAGCUGAUGACGAGUCGUCUUUUAGAUGACGAAGUGGUUGAUGCCAUGCUUCCAAGAAAAGCUUCUAAGCUUCAGGUAACCAGGAACCGUACCCCAAACCGACACAGGUGGUCGGGUAGAGAAUACCAAGGCGCUUGAGAGAACUCGGGUGAAGGAACUAGGCAAAAUGGCACCGUAACUUCGGGAGAAGGUGCGCCGGCUAGGGUGAAGGAUUUACUCCGUAAGCUCUGGCUGGUCGAAGAUACCAGGCCGCUGCGACUGUUUAUUAAAAACACAGCACUCUGCAAACACGAAAGUGGACGUAUAGGGUGUGACGCCUGCCCGGUGCCGGAAGGUUAAUUGAUGGGGUUAGCGCAAGCGAAGCUCUUGAUCGAAGCCCCGGUAAACGGCGGCCGUAACUAUAACGGUCCUAAGGUAGCGAAAUUCCUUGUCGGGUAAGUUCCGACCUGCACGAAUGG